rnacentral:pre_miRNA from 1 species
AGUUUUCUGAAUAAGUGCAGAGACUUCGUCAGACACCAGCCCGUUAGGACUGAUCAGGCCUUCAAGAUAAGUGAAGUU